CAUAUACUCCCUCCGUUCCUAAAUAUAAGUCUUUUUAGAGAUUACACUAUGAACUACAUACGGAUGUAUAUAGACAUAUUUUAGAGUGUAGAUUCACUUAUUUUGUUCCGUAUGUAGUCCCUAGUGGAAUCUCUAAAAAGACUUAUAUUUAGGAACGGAGGGAGUACAUU
rfam:Triticum aestivum genome assembly, contig: Triticum_aestivum_CS42_TGACv1_scaffold_527433_6DL